UUGAGGUUGCCAAGUCGAGAGAGGUUCCCCCAAAGACACAGGGGAACUCAGCUUGUUUUCAGAUACUGAAGAGAGAGGGUCUGUGGAGAGGAGAACUUGGCAGUGCAGGAGAAAGGGGUUAAACGAUGGAGUGAGGUCACUGAGGAAGUGGGAAGGAAUGUGUCCCAAGAGGGAGGCAUCAGCCUUGGGCCCUAGGAGGACACCUCCCCUGUAACGACAGUCUAUGGUUGUUUCUAGGAGCUGGAGAUGUUGUUGCUGUUGGGAGUAAAGGGGUUGAAAGAAUUCUUGCCUCUUUUCUCCAUAAAAUAGGAGCAGUGAUCAUCUCAUAAAGGUAAGGAAGGCAGCCUGAGGAGGUGGCUGGCGAGAAGUGGCCAGCAAGGUUGGCUUAGACCUGAGCCUGUGGACAAGGCAUGUUUACGUGCCUCCUGCUUAAGGCCAGGAUGGUUCCUGAAUGUGGGUCAGGGCGGAGCCUGAAGGUGGAUGGAGGACCACGGCUGUGAGAAGGCCUGGGGGCCACAGGGGCAGGGUCCAGGCUGUCAGAGUAACUUCUUGCAAAUGAGACCCUGUCACUUCUUUACUUAGAGACUUGCAUAGGGAGCAAACUCCUUGAGAAGACACAGCUUGAGGUCCCUCAUGAGCUGCCUCCUGGGGAUUUUCCCAGCUUCACCACUUUCCCCUUCAUCCCAAGCACCUGAGCUCCAGCCAUGGUGAAGAGCUCACCAUUCCCUUAAAACGUCAUUGUCCCUUCCUUGCUUUUCUUCCUCUCUCUUCUCUGCUUGGCAAACUCUUAUUCAAGACCCAGUAUAAGUGUAAUUUCAUUCACCCGUUCCACCACCAUCUACGGACCAUGCUUCAAUCCUGGUUCGCCCUCCAGAUCCCACUGCUCUUGGCUUUUGUGCCCUCCUCCGCUUCGAGAGGUCGACUGGUGUUGGGGAAAUUAAUAAAGCAGUCUUGUUCAGGCUUCAGAGGUAGAAGCAGGCCUCUGACCGACCGGUGACCCUGCCUGGACUGUGGGCUUACUUGCACACGCAACAAUUGCUGCUAGCAAGUCAAGCAGCGCUUACGAUAAGAAAGGGAGUGGGUCUUGGAAUUCCUUGAGCCCUGGGGACCUGGCCAGUCCCCCAGGGUCUGGAAAAUCUUGUGACCCACAUGGUGAAACCAACAGCAUUAUUAAAGUAAACUCAGAGCUCCAUCUUUGCACGCAAACUGAUCGUAUCGGUUUGCGGCCUGGAAUUAGAAACGGAAGCCCCCAGAACUCCAGUCUGAAGUCUCACCUGUGGGGUGGACGCACCGCCCGGGAACCUUCCCAACUGGGGCUCCAGAUUGCUGUCCCUCGGGACUUCCCAGCUGUUACUCGGAUCUGGAACGAGAUCUAGAGGCUCCAUUAGAUUCUGGCUGGUUAUGAUGAUGGUGACGGGGAUGGUGAUGAUUUUGGCAAGAAUACUGCAAAGGUAAUCAUGGAGAUUUGAACAUAAAUUGGGAAUUAGAUGAUGUUAAGAAAUUAUUGCUAGGGACUUCCCUGGUGGUCCCCCGGUUAAGAAUCCGCCUUCCAGUGCAGGGGACGCGGGUUCGUUACCUAGUUGGGGAACUAGAUCCCACAUGC